rnacentral:rRNA from 1 species
GAUGAACGCUGGCGGCGUGCCUAAUACAUGCAAGUCGAGCGAACAGAUAAGGAGCUUGCUCCUUUGAAGUUAGCGGCGGACGGGUGAGUAACACGUGGGUAACCUACCUAUAAGACUGGGAUAACUUCGGGAAACCGGAGCUAAUACCGGAUAACAUUUAGAACCGCAUGGUUCUAUAGUGAAAGAUGGUUUUGCUAUCACUUAUAGAUGGAUCCGCGCCGUAUUAGCUAGUUGGUAAGGUAACGGCUUACCAAGGCGACGAUACGUAGCCGACCUGAGAGGGUGAUCGGCCACACUGGAACUGAGACACGGUCCAGACUCCUACGGGAGGCAGCAGUAGGGAAUCUUCCGCAAUGGGCGAAAGCCUGACGGAGCAACGCCGCGUGAGUGAUGAAGGGUUUCGGAUCGUAAAACUCUGUUAUUAGGGAAGAACAAAUGUGUAAGUAACUGUGCACAUCUUGACGGUACCUAAUCAGAAAGCCACGGCUAACUACGUG